ACAACGGCUCUUUUAGGAGCCACCCAAAUGACACAAAAGUCACUGU
rfam:Nematostella vectensis strain CH2 x CH6 NEMVEscaffold_8_Cont1784, whole genome shotgun sequence.